rnacentral:rRNA from 1 species
UACAGAGGUCUCAAGCGUUGUUCGGAUUCAUUGGGCGUAAAGGGUGUGUAGGUGGCGCGCUAAGUCGGGUGUGAAAUUUCGGAGCUUAACUCCGAAACUGCAUUCGAUACUGGCGUGCUUGAGGACUGGAGAGGAGACUGGAAUUCAUGGUGUAGCAGUGAAAUGCGUAGAGAUCAUGAGGAAGACCAGUGGCGAAGGCGGGUCUCUGGACAGUUCCUGACACUGAGACACGAAAGCGUGGGGAGCAAACAGG